UACGGGGGGAGCAAGCGUUGUUCGGAUUUACUGGGCGUAAAGGGCGCGUAGGCGGCCAGCACAAGUCAGUUGUGAAAUCUCCGAGCUUAACUCGGAACGGUCAACUGAUACUGUGCGGCUAGAGUGCGGAAGGGGCAACUGGAAUUCUUGGUGUAGCGGUGAAAUGCGUAGAUAUCAGGAGGAACACCGGUGGCGAAGGCGGAUCUCUGGGCCUUACCUGACGCUCAGGUGCGAAAGCUAGGGGAGCGAACAGG
rnacentral:rRNA from 1 species